rnacentral:rRNA from 1 species
CACUAUCGUUAACUGAAUACAUAGGUUAACGAGGCGAACCGGGGGAACUGAAACAUCUAAGUACCCCGAGGAAAAGAAAUCAACCGAGAUUCCCCCAGUAGCGGCGAGCGAACGGGGAGCAGCCCAGAGUCUGAAUCAGCUUGUGUGUUAGUGGAACGGUCUGGAAAGUCCGACGGUACAGGGUGAUAGUCCCGUACACCAAAAUGCACAGGCUGUGAACUCGAAGAGUAGGGCGGGACACGUGGUAUCCUGUCUGAAUAUGGGGGGACCAUCCUCCAAGGCUAAAUACUCCUGACUGACCGAUAGUGAACCAGUACCGUGAGGGAAAGGCGAAAAGAACCCCGGCGAGGGGAGUGAAAAAGAACCUGAAACCGUGUACGUACAAGCAGUGGGAGCACCUUCGGGUGUGACUGCGUACCUUUUGUAUAAUGGGUCAGCGACUUAUAUUCUGUAGCAAGGUUAACCGUAUAGGGGAGCCGCAGGGAAACCGAGUCUUAACUGGGCGUUAAGUUGCAGGGUAUAGACCCGAAACCCGGUGAUCUAGCCAUGGGCAGGUUGAAGGUUGGGUAACACUAACUGGAGGACCGAACCGACUAAUGUUGAAAAAUUAGCGGAUGACUUGUGGCUGGGGGUGAAAGGCCAAUCAAACCGGGAGAUAGCUGGUUCUCCCCGAAAGCUAUUUAGGUAGCGCCUCGUGAAUUCAUCUUCGGGGGUAGAGCACUGUUUCGGCUAGGGGGUCAUCCCGACUUACCAACCCGAUGCAAACUACGAAUACCGAAGAAUGUUAUCACGGGAGACACACGGCGGGUGCUAACGUCCGUCGUGAAGAGGGAAACAACCCAGACCGCCAGCUAAGGUCCCAAAGUCAUGGUUAAGUGGGAAACGAUGUGGGAAGGCACAGACAGCCAGGAUGUUGGCUUAGAAGCAGCCAUCAUUUAAAGAAAGCGUAAUAGCUCACUGGUCGAGUCGGCCUGCGCGGAAGAUGUAACGGGGCUAAACCAUGCACCGAAGCUGCGGCAGCGACACUAUGUGUUGUUGGGUAGGGGAGCGUUCUGUAAGCCUGCGAAGGUGACCUGUGAGGGUUGCUGGAGGUAUCAGAAGUGCGAAUGCUGACAUAAGUAACGAUAAAGCGGGUGAAAAGCCCGCUCGCCGGAAGACCAAGGGUUCCUGUCCAACGUUAAUCGGGGCAGGGUGAGUCGACCCCUAAGGCGAGGCCGAAAGGCGUAGUCGAUGGGAAACAGGUUAAUAUUCCUGUACUUGGUGUUACUGCGAAGGGGGGACGGAGAAGGCUAUGUUAGCCGGGCGACGGUUGUCCCGGUUUAAGCAUGUAGGCUGGUUGUCCAGGCAAAUCCGGAUAAUCAAGGCUGAGGUGUGAUGACGAGGCACUACGGUGCUGAAGUAACAAAUGCCCUGCUUCCAGGAAAAGCCUCUAAGCAUCAGGUAACAUCAAAUCGUACCCCAAACCGACACAGGUGGUCAGGUAGAGAAUACCAAGGCGCUUGAGAGAACUCGGGUGAAGGAACUAGGCAAAAUGGUGCCGUAACUUCGGGAGAAGGCACGCUGGUGUGUAGGUGAAGUCCCUGCGGAUGGAGCUGAGACCAGUCGAAGAUACCAGCUGGCUGCAACUGUUUAUUAAAAACACAGCACUGUGCAAACACGAAAGUGGACGUAUACGGUGUGACGCCUGCCCGGUGCCGGAAGGUUAAUUGAUGGGGUUAUCCGUAAGGAGAAGCUCUUGAUCGAAGCCCCGGUAAACGGCGGCCGUAACUAUAACGGUCCUAAGGUAGCGAAAUUCCUUGUCGGGUAAGUUCCGACCUGCACGAAUGGCGUAAUGAUGGCCAGGCUGUCUCCACCCGAGACUCAGUGAAAUUGAACUCGCUGUGAAGAUGCAGUGUACCCGCGGCAAGACGGAAAGACCCCGUGAACCUUUACUAUAGCUUGACACUGAACAUUGAGCCUUGAUGUGUAGGAUAGGUGGGAGGCUUUGAAGCGUGGACGCCAGUCUGCGUGGAGCCAACCUUGAAAUACCACCCUUUAAUGUUUGAUGUUCUAACGUUGGCCCCUGACCGGGGUUGCGGACAGUGUCUGGUGGGUAGUUUGACUGGGGCGGUCUCCUCCCAAAGCGUAACGGAGGAGCACGAAGGUUAGCUAAUCCUGGUCGGACAUCAGGAGGUUAGUGCAAUGGCAUAAGCUAGCUUGACUGCGAGCGUGACGGCGCGAGCAGGUGCGAAAGCAGGUCAUAGUGAUCCGGUGGUUCUGAAUGGAAGGGCCAUCGCUCAACGGAUAAAAGGUACUCCGGGGAUAACAGGCUGAUACCGCCCAAGAGUUCAUAUCGACGGCGGUGUUUGGCACCUCGAUGUCGGCUCAUCACAUCCUGGGGCUGAAGUAGGUCCCAAGGGUAUGGCUGUUCGCCAUUUAAAGUGGUACGCGAGCUGGGUUUAGAACGUCGUGAGACAGUUCGGUCCCUAUCUGCCGUGGGCGCUGGAGAAUUGAGGGGGGCUGCUCCUAGUACGAGAGGACCGGAGUGGACGCAUCACUGGUGUUCGGGUUGUCAUGCCAAUGGCACUGCCCGGUAGCUAAAUGCGGAAGAGAUAAGUGCUGAAAGCAUCUAAGCACGAAACUUGCCCCGAGAUGAGUUCUCCCUGAGACUUUAAGUCUCCUGAAGGAACGUUGAAGACGACGACGUUGAUAGGCCGGGUGUGUAAGCGCAGCGAUGCGUUGAGCUAACCGGUACUAAUGAACCGUGAGGCUUAACCUU